CGAGUUGGUGCGAGGUGAUUUAUUCCAGUGGGGAGCCGCUCCCUGUGCAAUAGCUCUCUUUACCAAUGUGUAGGGUGGCAGGGUCUCUCCUUCACCCCCUCUCCCCUCCCUUCCCAAGGUCCACAAUGUAAUGUGUAAGCAAUAGCAAAUGUAACAGUUCAUAAAUCAAACAGUGGGUCGCAAGCCAAUCUGCAUUUCCCAAACGAAUUGAAUCCCAGCAACGAAUGUGUUCAGGAACUGGAGCCAGGCGCCUUUACCACUGGAAGCAAUGUUGAUUUUUUAAUGAUAAAAUACAUUAUGCGUGUGUUAGGGGGGCUUUGCAGAGCUCAGCCUCGCUUCGUCAGACAUAGGUCUGCUGGAAUUUCGUUUUCUUUUGGCCUCCCUCUAGACUCAGUCCCCACCACCACCAAAGUAAAAGGAAAACCCUGGAGAGCAGAGCUUUGUUUAAAUGGUUUGGGUUAUUUUCCCUCCCCACAGAGGAUAUAGACCUAAAUUGAUUUUUCUGUGCACAUCUCUGUAUUCACGAGGUCAGGCGCUGCUGUUAUGGUUUCCUGUAGCACGAAAUGACAGAUGCCAAGGAGAGACGGAAGAGAGAGCCCUUGCUGGGGUACGGGGAGCUCCGCAGCCUGUUGGCUACGCCGGCCGGGCUCCGGGGACCCUUGCUGGCGGCAGCCCCGCUCCGCCCCGGGGUGCCCGGGCGCAGGUCCCGCCCGCUGCCGGCAUUCCCGACGCCGCCCCCGCUUUCCCGGCUGCUGGACGGUGCCCGUCGGUCGGAGAAAGGUGGAAGGGAGCCUCCCAGCUUUCCCUCUCACCCCUCAGAAGAAAGCUGAAACGCCAUAAUAAGGGGGCGAUUUCCAGCUCAUUAGAGGACUCGAGUUAUCUUCGCGUGAGGUUCAAUUACUAAUGGAUAAUUUCUCUGUAAUUAGCACAUCCCCCAAUUAGCCCUCCAUCGAGGAGGAUAAUAAACGGUGGCAAGCCGGGGAAAAACAGGGUAGGGGGUUGAGAAGGAGCCCUGUGGUCUUGCCCGGGCCCCUUCCCUCCCCUCCUGCCUCCCCCUGGACUCUCCUGUCUGGGGCCUCUAGUUGUCGGGUGCCACCGGGCCUCCCGGGCUAGCCUAGCAGCACCCCGGGAUUUCCCGCACAGGCGGCAGGAAGUGGUACCAAACCCCGGUCCCGCCGGCUCAGCUCCUCCUGGGCAACCGGCAAGCGAGGCUCUCCCCGAACACUAGCAAUCAACAAACUCCCCCUCACCUUCCCCCGUUCAUUUUAUAAGAGCCCCUCAAUGCGCGAGACAUUGGUUGUUCCCUUUCCUGCCCCUUUCAGGGGUUAUUUCUGAAGCCCGCGAGCAAUAGUCGAUUUUAUUUUAUUUUUUUUUUUGACCCCAGGGGUGGUUGCUCUGCCUUGCCUUGUUGUGUGGCCAAGGAAACAUAAGCCAUCCGCCAAGUCCCAGAAAGGGACUGAGUGUACUGGAUUUGCCUCCUGCCGCCUUGCACCUGUAGGGUUUGUAAGGGCUGCGGGGGAAGGCUGGGGUGUCGCUUGCCAGGCUGGUCCCACUGCCCCAGGCAGCAGCUGCUGUAGCAAGAGCUGGAAGAGGUUCAAACUUCUGAACAUCCCUUCUUAACUCCUGGGCAAACGUGAGCUGGUGAACUGGAGAGGGGAAAAAAUGCAACAGAAAAGCAUUUAAAUGUUGACAGAGACCACAGUAAAAUUAUCCCCUACUUAAAAAAAAAAAAAAAAAAGCACACAUACACACAAAAGCAUAAAUGCAGAUCAACAGGGGAAAAACCCAUAGUCGGAACAAAAAAACCAAGCCAGUGCAUUUCUAGCUGGCUGGAUAAUCGGGAAGCCUUGCAGCCAUUGCGGCUCUGCCUGCCCUAAUUCCUGUCCCCAGCUCCGACUGAGCAACCGCAGCCCCGCAGUCCCCGGAGGGCCGCGGGGAGUUGGCUCCUUCCCCGGCAGCGCUGAAUGCACCCGUGCUUGGCAGGCGGCUGCUCACCUCCUGCCUCCCCCUUUUAGCAGCCUGGCUUAGCCCUGGAGGCAGGGUUGCGCCUCGCCCCUGCCUGGGCUGCCCUCCACCACGGCGAGACCGUGCCAGCACUGGGCUGAGGUGGUGGUGGUCGAUUCUUUUUGCUUUAUAGGGGGGGGAAAAAAGUCCUUUCCCAUCUGUUCAAAGGCUGUAACAGGGAGAUGGAGCAGGCCUGUGCUGGAAGAAAAAGCUUGAGCACAAAUAUACAGAACUGAGGAAAACCUAUAUAUGAAUGGUAGUGAAGGCAGACUGGUUGGUGCUUACAGAGGGAGCAGGGGGAGGUAUGGUAUAAAAGUAAGCUGCAGUACUCACUUCACAGGACUUUCUGGUGGCUAUGUCUACGUUUCAGAAGCAACAGCCAGAUACUGUUGGUCCCUGGCUCAUGUGCACAGUCUAGAGAUGAAUGGAUCGGUGACUCUUCCAGCCCACUUCCUCUUCAGGACCCUUUUUAAAUCUGUGCGGUUGCUGUCCUGCCCAGUGAAACCCAAUAGAUUCUGUGAAGGGCUGACAACCUAAGGAGAAAGAGUCCAGUUCAGCCUUCCUAUUCAUCAGGGCUGAUUCAUUAAUGAUUAGUGCCAUUAGGUGUACUACAGCAGUGCCUGAGGGCCCCAAUUAAAGGAAAGCGAGCUUGUUAAAUCCAGAAAGUCAGAUUCUCCCUCUGUUACUCCUGCCUGAUGCAGAGGUAGUCUCCAGGGUGGGCAGCAAGAAUAACCCCGGCUUUCUAGGUAUGCAGCCUCUGUGCCUUUCCCCCUCACUCCUCCCACUUUUCCCUCUCCUUCACCUUAGCUGCAGAUCCUGCCUACAGGGUGCUGCAGAGCGAGGCUAGUGCAGGAGUUGGCUAGCAGGACUCGCAGGAGGAGGUGGCAAAUCAGGUUAGUUUUCUGAGCCACUUCAUUUUUCAUCACGAGUGGGUUUGGGUGGGUUUUUUUGGUUUAUUGGUUUUUUUGGUAGGUUUUUUUUUGGCAGGGUUGGGGGCAGGCAAAGUGAUAAGGACUGCAGAGGAGUCUGUUACAAAAUCAGAUACGAUUUUAGCUGUCUGAAAGAGUUCCUUUAGGCUACAGGCAGCUGAUGAUCAAUGGUGCUGUCGGCAAAUGUGCUUCCAGCUGGCUGCUGCCUCUCUUGAGGGACAGUUUCAACCCAAGGCUCAUUGCAAUUUUGAUACCACAAGGGGCUUUCAUUUACUUUGGGCUAAGGAUCUUCUACUGCCCAGUUCCACCAGUGAGAAGAAAAGCUGGAGGUGAUGUGGGAGAGUGACAACAGCACUGUUAUUGGUGAGUUAUUGGUUGUUCCUUUCCCCUCAGAUUCCCAUGGUGGGUCUGUGUAAAAGAUUUCGCUCAAAGCCCCAUACUCCUGAACUGUGGGUUUGCAAACAGAUGGGCAGAUUGUGCUAGCAUAGGCUUUGCCUUUCAGGAGGUACUGAAAAAAUAGGUUUAAAUGCUUUAAAUUAUCAGAAACCCAACCUGUGGCCUGUGCCCUAGCUUUUUAGGCUUUAUUGUUUGUUUUAUUUUGUUUGUUUUAUUUUGUUUGUUUGCUUAUCUCCAAAGCUGAUAUAGAAGAAAGACUGAAACAGCCUCCCGAAGGUCAAGGUGAGACUGACCAUCAUCUGAGUACUGAUAUUCACCAGCAGCAAUAAGUCCUUGUUCCCAGGUGCUGGAAGUCUCUUCAGCUAGAAAAACAACAUUACUGCAGGGGCAAACAACUAGUCCUGACCUUUACACAGCCAUUCUUUGGGAAAAAGUAUUGCCUGAAGUCAAUAUGCAUUCUGCCUAGCUUUCGUCAGAAGAAAAAUGCCUGAACUGAAGUGACAACAACAAAUAAUAGGUGUUGGUGAUUUGCACUCUCUCCACCUAAAUCAGAUAUCUGGCACAUCAAUACUUAGAAGGCUUAGGAGAAGAAGAAAACAUCAAUAUUUCACUGAACACACAAAGUUGCACAACUCCCCACAACUCCCAGUCUCCAUUUUAAUGUCCACCGUGAUUAGUUUGUUUUGGUCUUUUUCUGUCAGAUGACUGAUUUCAGUUUCUCUUUGAAUCCCAUCUGUGUGAAUAGCUUGUUUUUCUCCCUAGCAAGUGUUAACAAGGAACUGCAAGGAUUUUGUUCGGGCUCACCAGUCAGGCAACCCUGAGGUGGCUGACUUCUAGGAAAAGCCACAGCAGGAACAAACGAGAGCCAGCCUACGCACCAGAUACAGCUUUUGCUGGUCUUUAGUUUAUGUUCCAACUCGUGCUCGUGUUAAACGAAUCGCCGUUAGCAACUGCAAUACAGACAAACGCAAGGAAGAACAAGCUGGACGCUUUAUCACGGAGCUGCGCUUGGAAGUGAUGGCCCAUUGUAACACAGACUCACCCACCACAGUGGAGCUGUUCCAGCUAACGGCAAUUUAGGACUUGCUGCGCUCACUUUAGCCCAUGCUCUGAAGUUCCCGAUCUCAUCCUUUAUGUGAACUAGAUCAUGCAAAUGGGGACACCGGAGUCACAGGGAAGUUGAGUAGAGUUCCGCAUGAGCACUGGCGUGAGAAGGAGCAGCAAUUAGCUCUAAACUCACUCUGCCGGCCUGUCGUUUCCGAGCUCUGCCCCUGCUGCUCUGUAACUGGAAGACUUUCGCUCUAGAAGAUGGGGAGAAGAACAUUUUGCUCAUGCUCAUAUUAAUCAAGUCGUCUUAUGAGCUACUGAAUCUGUGAAAUUGUAUCUCCCGUGGAGUUCAGUGGUAAUGACUGUCUCUGAUGUGGACUCUCUGGUGCCUAAUAAUACAGUUUUGUUUCUGCAGUGGAUGCACUCCUAGCAUUUUUUCUCCUCUGUCUGCCUACUUCCACAGCCCUUGUAGGCAGUUUAAACCUUUGAAACUUCUAUCCCCUGUCAAGUUUGAUCAAACUCAGCUCACGAGCUCAAAAAAUUAUUUAGGAGGGACCAACUGGCACUUGCACAAGACAGUGUGAUCUCAUAAGCUUCCUUUCCUUGGGAAACUAGGCUACCAACCUAGCAACGGGGGGAAAAAAAUGCCAUCCUGCUAGCAAAAAGGACCUAAACACUUGGAGGAAAGAGGAGAGAUGGGAGAGGAAAGCGAAGCUGUUUUGAAGGGAAAAAAAUAACUGCCUUGUGGUUGCAGAGCUCUCAUACACUUAAAGGGACAACCUUGGAGACACACGCUGGAGAAAAUGUUCUCCAGGAGAUGAUAAGUUCUCUCGUGAAAAUUGGUAAGGGAGAGAAAUCACCUGGACUCAUCUUACCACCAGGCAUGCUAAAUGGAUAUCUAUAUGGCAAGAAUUGUCCCCAGUGGUACCUGUUUCUCUCUGUGGACUAGAGGAAGCCACAGAUACAACUAGCAUGCAACUCAUGUGCCUGCAGUAUCUAAAACAAGGUGGAUCCUACCCCAAAGGGAAUGGUCUUCUUACCACUCUGUCCUUCAGACCAAAGUUUUCCAUGGUGCUGCUGCAGGUUUUGUUACUUCAUGUACUAGGUUCGUAUGUUAGAAAAGCUGUUGUAUGUCUUAAUAGCUGCAGAUGCAUGCAUGGUUUUACUGGGCAUUUAUUAGCACUUAUCCUCUUUGCACUAAAACCUUUCUUGUCCUUGUACCUUAUGGAAUAAAAUUCUUUAAGUGAG